rnacentral:rRNA from 1 species
UACGGAGGAUGCGAGCGUUAUCCGGAUUUAUUGGGUUUAAAGGGUGCGUAGGCGGAAUAUCAAGUCAGCGGUAAAAAUUCGGGGCUCAACCCCGGCGAGCCGUUGAAACUGGCGGGCUGGAGUUGGAGAGAAGUACGCGGAAUGCGCGGUGUAGCGGUGAAAUGCUUAGAUAUCGCGCAGAACCCCGAUUGCGAAGGCAGCAUACCGGCGCCCUACUGACGCUGAGGCACGAAAGUGCGGGUAUCGAACAGG